rnacentral:rRNA from 1 species
CAGCCGCCGCGGGAAUACGUAGGGUGCGAGCGUUAAUCGGAAUUACUGGGCGUAAAGCGUGCGCAGGCGGUUAUAUAAGACAGAUGUGAAAUCCCCGGGCUCAACCUGGGACCUGCAUUUGUGACUGUAUAGCAAGAGUACGGUAGAGGGGGAUGGAAUUCCGCGUGUAGCAGUGAAAUGCGUAGAUAUGCGGAGGAACACCGAUGGCGAAGGCAAUCCCCUGGACCUGUACUGACGCUCAUGCACGAAAGCGUGGGGAGCAAACAGGAUUAGAUACCCGGGUAAUCCCUGUCUCUUAUAC